rnacentral:rRNA from 1 species
UGGGCCCGACGUCGCAUGCUCCCGGCCGCCAUGGCGGCCGCGGGAAUUCGAUUAGAGUUUGAUCAUGGCUCAGAUUGAACGCUGGCGGCAUGCCUAACACAUGCAAGUCGAACGGCAGCACAGUAAAGAUUUCGGUCUUUAUGGGGUGGCGAGUGGCGGACGGGUGAGUAACACGUAGGAAUCUGUCCUGGAGCGUGGGAUAACCCGAGGAAACUCGGGCUAAUACCACAUGAUAUCGAGGGAUCAAAAGCAGGGGACCGAAAGGCCUUGCGCUCUGGGGUGAGCCUACGUCGGAUUAGCUAGUUGGUGGGGUAAAAGCCUACCAAGGCGACGAUCCGUAGCUGGUCUGAGAGGAUGACCAGCCACACUGGGACUGAGACACGGCCCAGACUCCUACGGGAGGCAGCAGUGGGGAAUCUUGGACAAUGGGGGAAACCCUGAUCCAGCGAUGCCGCGUGUGUGAAGAAGGCCUUCGGGUUGUAAAGCACUUUAGGUGGGGAAGAAAGGUAACGAGCGAAUAACUCGUUGCUAUGACGGUACCCGCAGAAUAAGCACCGGCUAACUCUGUGCCAGCAGCCGCGGUAAUACGAAUCACUAGUGAAUUCGCGGCCGCCUGCAGGUCGACCAUAUGGGAGAGCUCCCAACGC